rnacentral:rRNA from 1 species
UACGUAGGGCGCAAGCGUUGUCCGGAAUUAUUGGGCGUAAAGAGCUCGUAGGCGGCUUGUCACGUCGGGUGUGAAAGCCCGGGGCUUAACCCCGGGUCUGCAUUCGAUACGGGCAGGCUAGAGUGUGGUAGGGGAGAUCGGAAUUCCUGGUGUAGCGGUGAAAUGCGCAGAUAUCAGGAAGAACACCCGUGGCGAAGGCAGCUCUCUGGGACGGUACUGACGCUGAGACGCGAAAGCGUGGGGAGCGAACAGG